GAUGAACGCUGGCGGCGUGCCUAAUACAUGCAAGUCGAGCGAACAGACGAGGAGCUUGCUCCUCUGACGUUAGCGGCGGACGGGUGAGUAACACGUGGAUAACCUACCUAUAAGACUGGGAUAACUUCGGGAAACCGGAGCUAAUACCGGAUAAUAUAUUGAACCGCAUGGUUCAAUAGUGAAAGACGGUUUUGCUGUCACUUAUAGAUGGAUCCGCGCCGCAUUAGCUAGUUGGUAAGGUAACGGCUUACCAGGGCAACGAUGCGUAGCCGACCUGAGAGGGUGAUCGGCCACACUGGAACUGAGACACGGUCCAGACUCCUACGGGAGGCAGCAGUAGGGAAUCUUCCGCAAUGGGCGAAAGCCUGACGGAGCAACGCCGCGUGAGUGAUGAAGGUCUUCGGAUCGUAAAACUCUGUUAUUAGGGAAGAACAAAUGUGUAAGUAACUAUGCACGUCUUGACGGUACCUAAUCAGAAAGCCACGGCUAACUACGUGC
rnacentral:rRNA from 1 species